AAGGGAAAGGAAAAUAGAGGAAGGACUAGACAUUAUAGCUUUGCUCUGCCACCAUGGUCAGAGGCAGCAGUGCUUCUGAACAGCAGCUGCAGGAGAGGAGAGUGUUCUUGUGCUUGGGUCCUGCCUGAGGAAUUCCCACAGGCUUCAGGUUGGCCACUGUGAGAACAUGGACUAGAUGGGCCAUUGGCUUUUCUCAUGAAUGUAUGAAGGCACAAGUGAGAGAAAGAAGAAACUUCACUAUGUGAGCAGACUUGCCCUGUACUGGAUCUCAUCCACUAUCUGGGUGCUCUGUUUUAUGUAUUCAUUUCUUUUUAAAAUAAAUUGUUAAUUGAAUUUACAAAUCCUUCCCAAUGCCACUUGCUACCAUGUACAGUGGCAAUUUAAUUAUUGCUAUAAAGUAGACAGACACCCACCCACUUAUUCCCAAAUUGAAUUGCUCAGUAUCGCUCUGUAAUACAACACUAAUUCAAAUGUGAAGAAAGGUUUCAGAAGGUUACAAAACUAGAAAGAGUUUUAAAAAUAGAUCAAAUAUUCUAGUUGUGUGCAGUUUUGUUUAUUGGAAAUAACUCAGUUUGUUUUAUUGUAUCAUUUGUUACUGGACACUGGGCUCCAAUAAACACUUUAAUAAACAUCAGAUCUUGGGAACUCAUAAUCUCUGGUUAUGUCUUUACAAAAAUGUGUGUUAGUGUUAUUCACCCCUGUAUCCUGACUAAAAAUUAUAUACCUGGAAAUUAUAAUUUUCCCAUAUCUUGUGGGAGGGACACAUUUCUUGUGAAAGCACAGGCAUAGCAGUAUGGCGCUGGUUUAAUCCAAUAAACUUGACACUCAAAGUGCUACAGAUAUUCGUUCUUCUGACAUUUCUUUCAUUCCCGGUUACAAGGUUAGCUCCAUGUGGAGCAAAAGGGUCAGCAGAAGACUCACAAAACAGGCAAUUUCAUUGUAUUAUCCAUGGGAUUUCUUUCUACAUAAUUUAAGCUGUUUGCAAAAUGACAGGGCCCAGCCUGUGUUCCCAACAGAUGAAAUGAGGGCCAUUUCAACCCUGCUCCUUCUCUUCUCUUUUCCUUUCCGCUGCUAUUUGUUUCAGACCUUUUUGUGGUGUUCUUCCCGGGGCAUCUUACCCAUAGAGGCUAGUGGUGCAGGGCGCCAGGGCGCCAAGUUCUGGAGGGCGCCAAGGAAGAGGCGGAGGCUGGACGCAGGGCCUCCCAGCAUCCGCUCGCUGCCCUCGCCCGCCUCCGCCAUGCUGCGCCGAAGCAGCGCUGUGCCCAGAGCCUCCGUCUGCCAUGGCCACCAUGGCAUGAAGCGGCCAGCCUGUGCCUCUUCCCCGCCGGAGGAGCUGCCCUCCAGCCACUGCCUACCUCCUCCAGCCCUGCCGGCAGCGCCGCCCAUCCUAAAAAACUCUGGGAAAAGGGGGGCGCGCACUGGAGAGAGCUUUGCACCAUGGUGCCGGAUAUGCUUAAGACGGCCCUGGUUCCUCCCCACUGCUUUAACAUUAAUGUCUUAGCGUUAGACCAAACAGCUAUGGUUCCUUAUGUUACGGCAUGUGAAAUAUCUGGUUAUCUUUUCUGGUGGAUGGCUCCCUCAUCAUUUUCGCCUGGCUGCGUUGUGGGGAGCGGCUCUGCUGUCUAAUCAGCACUGGCAGGAGGUGUGGCUGUGGGAAAUUUAAACUGCGGUACAGCUUGGGACCAUCCUUCGCCGGAUUUCCUUUUUUUUUUUUAAAUAAGAUAUUUAUUAAAGUUUCAACAUAUUACAAAAAUAAGAGAAAAAAGUAAAAGAGAAAAAAAAGAACAAAAAUGAAAAUACAAAGUAAAAACAAUUAAAAACAAAUCAGUCUUUCCAUAUCUUAUCUUUCAUUUGCUUGUUUCCCUGACCUCCUCACACCUCCCUUUUUUGUAUUCCAGUUCAAUUAGUUAGUUCAGCAAUUCCUUUCCCUCUUUGAUUUUAUCUUAAUCUUUUAUCUUAAUAUAUUAUAACUUUAAAUUAUCACCUGUUAACAAUCCAUUUUUACAUAUUCCUUUAUAACAUUGCUGCUAAAAACCACUUAACUUCUAUCCAACAUCAUUCUAACAUUCAUUAAUUUUGCAGUAUUUCUGUAAAUAGUUUUAAAAUUUCUUCCAAUCUUCUUCCACCGACUCUUCUCCCUGGUCUCGGAUUCUGCCAGUCAUUUCCGCCAGUUCCAUAUAGUCCAUCACCUUCAUCUGCCAUUCUUCCAGUGUGGGUAAAUCUUGUGUCUUCCAAUAUUUUGCGAUAAGUAUUCUUGCUGCUGUUGUGGCAUACAUAAAAAAAAUUCUAUCCUUCUUUGGCACCAAUUGGCCGACUAUGCCCAGGAGAAAGGCCUCUGGUUUCUUCAAGAAGGUAUAUUUAAAUACCUUUUUCAUUUCAUUAUAGAUCAUCUCCCAGAAAGCCUUAAUCCUUGGGCACGUCCACCAAAGGUGAAAGAAUGUACCUUCAGUUUCUUUACAUUUCCAACAUUUAUUAUCGGGCAAAUGAUAGAUUUUUGCAAGCUUGGCUGGAGUCAUGUACCACCUGUAUAUCAUUUUCAUAAUAUUCUCUCUUAAGGCAUUACAUGCCGUAAACUUCAUACCUGUGGUCCAUAACUGUUCCCAGUCAGCCAUCAUUAUGUUAUGUCCAACAUCUUGUGCCCAUUUAAUCAUAGCAGAUUUCACCGUUUCAUCCUGAGUGUUCCAUUUCAACAGCAGGUUAUACAUCUUUGACAAAAUCUUGGUUUUAGGGUCUAACAGUUCUGUUUCCAAUUUUGAUUUUUCCACCUGGAAGCCAAUUUUCUUAUCCAAAUUAUAUGCCUCCAUUAUCUGAUAAUAAUGAAGCCAAUCUCGCACUUUGUCUUUUAGUUUUUCAAAACUCUGCAGUUCAUCCUUCGCCGGAUUUCCUACACACCUGCCCUCUUUUUAUGCUUUGCUCUGACACAACCUUGCUAUGGACAAAUGUUGGCCACCAUAUUUUGGGGACCGGGCAGGAAUUUUUUCUGCUUGGCAAAUUGGCUCCUGCCAUGUGGUUUUUGCCUACUUUGUAGCAAUCAUCACAACUUUGUAAGGUUAGGCAUUGGGUAAGCCUUUGUUUGGAUAGAGGGGAAGUUGUAGCCUCUGUCUGCCCCUCCUCCUUAAAGGGAUCUGUUAAAGGGAUCUGGGUUGUGUGUAUUCUGUCGGAUGCCCGGACGUGGGCUAGGGCUAUGCCACAACCCCUAUGGGGAUGCCUUGGGAUGCCCCUAUUUGAUGUAAGCCAUAAAGCUCCCCCUAUUGGUGGUUUAUCCUUAGUUGGACUCCUUGCAAUGGGCGGGAGUCAAGGUAUAGUCUGGCUUCACCCAAUGCCUAAGCCAAACUGCUCACAUCUGUAACCAAUAAGCUUGUGGCCUAUUCAAAACCAUAAACCAAAAUCCACUUUUCUGUGUGUUUAUUUAUCCACUAGGGAACAGUGGGUCAUGGGGCCUUGGCACACAAGUGAUUGUUCCUAUCCAGUAAAGGAUCUUACUUGUAUAGAAGCAGAUCUUUCUGAAUGCAUAUCCUUAGUUGGAUGGGAUUCAAAUAGCUGCUGUAUGCAUAGAUCCCCAGCCUGGGGGUGUGCACUAAUCAGCUGUUUGGAAUGAUAAUUGGGAUGUGUGUGUCUGCGCAGAUUUAGUACUUUUACUGCACUGCGAAACAGAUGAUUGGAGCUACUCAGAGUAUCUCACUACACAACACACAUAGGCAGUUUGGUAUGCUGGGGAGGCAAUCCCUGCUCAGUCAUGAAGGUAACUACUGUUCUUUGGGCAUUCACCCUCUUAGAGUUGCUGGGAGGCUAAAUGAGACAGGAGUGGAAGCCACUUUGCACUUGAACAGUAGAAAUUUAAUGCAGAUUAGAAUAAUUACAAAGUCAUUAAGCAGUGCUUCCCACAACCUCUAAACAGAAACUCUUAAGAGGCUCUUCUGUUUCCAAACAACAAAACCGCCCUGUUCCCAGGUGCAGUAAAAACAUCCCUUAAUAAAUGUUUCUUUAAAAUCUGUUAACCCAGUGGUUUUCAGCCAGUGUGCCCUGGCACCUUGGGGUGCCUUGAAUGAUGGUCAGGCGUGCUGUGGGCAACACUGGCCUCCCUCUUUCCUUUCCUCCCUCCUCUGAUGCCUUCUUGCACCUCUGCCUCCCAAAGGCUUGUACAGCUGUUGGUUGUAGCAGACCUGGCUACAAGCUCCUUAGGCAAAUGCCGCCUCUGGGGCUGGUCAGGGGGUACUGGCUGCCAGGAGCUGAAGCAGGCUUGUAGUAAGCAAGCAAGCAAGCAGGUGAGGGGAGCCCAGCCAACCAGUCCACCAGCCCUUGCAGUUGGGAACAGACAGACAAGUCCUAGGACCCCGUUGGGCAGUGUGAGGAGGGACCUCUCUUUGGGGUGGGAGGGGGGGAGCUCAGAGUCCAGGGGUGGCAGCAGUGGCUGCCCGGAGGGCUCCCAAGAAGAGGGGAGGGGAGAGGAGGCUGAGGGAACACUUCACAAGAGAGGGUGUUUGAAAUGAGAUGAAAAGCUGCCAGCUCUAUCGGCAAAGGGUGAUAUAGCUGGGCUCCUGAACCCCACGGAGGUGCUGCAGAAACAAUGUAGUUGGUCAAGGGAGCCGUGGACUCAAAAAGGUUGAAAACCUCUGUUUUAACCAGUUAGACCAACCCUAGGUCUUCCUUCUGCAUUUUUAAAUCUUAGAAAGAGAUAGAAUAAGAGGAAAGGAGAUAACAGUUCAGGCUUUGCCUUUUCAUUUUCAGCAAACACAUGACAGGGGCAGUGAUCAGUGCACUAACUCUGCCCCCCUUUGUGUUGUUUCCUUCAAAACAGUGGCAGGCAACCUUGUCAAGUGGAAAGCCCCCCUCAUGCAUUUUAGAACCUGUGUUUUCCAGGCUUCUAGAAUGUCUGAGAAUUCUCCAUGAAUACAGGAGACUCCCUGCUUCAUGCAGUCACCUUUCAGGAGUUGGAGGGCAAUGGAAACUCUGAGGAGGAGGAGCAAAUCUAGGGUAUUGGUCCUCAAUGAUCCCCCUUAUGUGCUUGCAGAACGGUAAAAGGGAACAACCAAAAUAAUUUAAGACUAAACACAGAUUAUUUUAAUUCCAGGUGCAGCACAUGGCUCCAGAUUUCAAAGGCCUCAUGGAGUAAAUGACAUUGAACAAAGACGCGAAGCUUGUUUCCAAUAACACUGUCCAAAGAUUUCCUUUUAUUGAGUAAACAGCUUCACAGGCCCCUACAUGGGAAGAUAUCAAGAUUCUCUUAAAGGUUUCAACAGCAUACCAACUCCUUUCAAGCACUUUAAAAAAAAUAAAAAAAUAACCCCCUUCAGUAUGAAAGCUUCAAAGGAAAAGAGCUGAGCAGAAAGGAGAAAAGAACAGCUGGGAGAGAGGGCUGGUUACAAAGAGAAUAAUAAUAGGUAUAAAUGGCUUCUUAGAUGAAUCAGAAAUGAUAACGCAUGCAGCACAGAUAUAACAGAAAUUCCAGAAUGGUUAUUGGGGAUUGAAGCAGCUGAGGCAAUUGACUUAAAAACUGAAAAUAGUUUGGUACUCUGGCAGCAAUGAGACAAGAAGAGGGAUUCUUUCGCUCGUUCAGGCUCUUUUUCCUGAUAGUUAAAAAAGAGCAGAAGACAGUAGGUUUUGUGCAGUUGAGAACUUCAAUCAUGGUGGAGCUUUCAGCACGUGUGUGAAAGGAAUAUCUUGCUCCAUAGCCAUCCCCUGAUCAGAAUUGGCAAGAAGCCUGUAUUAAUCGGAAACAGAGUAGACUCUGUGAACUGUGGCACAUGGGAUCACCCAGUGAAUUACUUCUUAAUGGCCUAAUGGACAAAGGGUCUGUGACUUUAAGAGGUGCAUGGCAAACUUAAAUCAGUAGGCCAACUCUACCCGUUGAUAGUUACUUUGGUCCACCAGCUGUUGCUGAGUUCUCUGGCCCUUGGCUGUGCUUGCUGGGCUGAUGAGAGAGUUGUCGUUCAACAACAUCUGGAGGGCCAAAGCGUCCACACUCUUGACAUAGCUACUAAAUGCACCAUAACUGGUGGUAACCCUGUCUCUGGCCUUCUGUGUAGAUAAACUGAAGAAUAUGAGAAUGAUUACAUUUACUCUGGGCUUUGUGUGAUAAAUCAGCACACCGAAACUUGAAAAAGGUAUCCUGGAGACUUUUUCUAAAUAGCUAUUAACAGUAUCGAUAGUCUGCUUCAAUAAUGAAGAUUCAAGAAUAGCCUCAAAUAUGCAUUUAACCCCCUGGUUAACAAUAAAAUUGACUGAGAAACCAUAUGAAGAAACUGCACAGAAGUGUUAAGGGCCAAUUACCACACCUUCUCUCCUUACCACAAUCUAUAUAGCCAAGGCUAUUUUCCUGAUCUUUUGUUUCCUACUUGAAUACCCACACAGAAAACAAGGUCUAGACUGGUCAAUGGUCCACCAUCACCCAAUUCGUAAUGUAAAGUAAACAGAAAUAAAGGAGCAUUUGCAAA